AGCUUUAGGGCUAGCCUCGGAGUUGAGAAUCGUGGAGGUAGAGCACUGUUUGGACUAGGGGCCCGUCUUGGGUUACUGAAUUCAGAUAAACUCCGAAUGCCACUGAUUUAUAUCCGGGAGUCAGACUGCGAGUGAUAAGAUCCGUAGUCGAAAGGGAAACAGCCCAGACCACCGAUUAAGGUCCCUAAAUAUGUGUUAAGUGGAAAAGGAUGUGGAAUUGCACAGACAACUAGGAUGUUGGCUCAGAAGCAGCCACCAUUUAAAGAGUGCGUAAUAGCUCACUAGUCGAGUGAUCCUGCGCCGAAAAUGUAACGGGGCUAAACACAUUACCGAAAUCGUGGAUGCAGCUUUGCUGCAUGGUAGGAGAGCGUUCUAAGGGCGGUGAAGCCGGACCGUAAGGACCGGUGGAGCGCUUAGAAGUGAGAAUGCCGGUAUGAGUAGCGAAAGACAGGUGAGAAUCCUGUCCACCGAAUGACUAAGGUUUCCUGGGGAAGGCUCGUCCUCCCAGGGUUAGUCGGGACCUAAGCUGAGGCCGAGAGGCGUAGGCGAUGGACAACGGGUUGAUAUUCCCGUACCGGUCUGAUUUGUUUGAGCAACGGAGGGACGCAGGAGGCUAACGAUGCGCACUAUCGGAUGUGCGUCCAAGCAGCAAGUCUGUCGGCGAGUCAAAUGCUUGCCGGCUCAAGGACAAGCUGUGACGGGUAUGAACGAUUUAUCGUUCUAAGUGAGUGACGUCACACUGCCAAGAAAAGCUUCUAGUUAGAAUCAGACCGCCCGUACCGCAAACCGACACAGGUAGUCGGGUCGAGAAGACCAAGGUGAGCGAGAGAACUCUCGUUAAGGAACUCGGCAAAAUGACCCCGUAACUUCGGGAGAAGGGGUGCUGAUCGCAAGAUCAGCCGCAGUGAAUAGGCCCAGGCGACUGUUUAUCAAAAACACAGGUUUCUGCAAAAUCGUAAGAUGAAGUAUAGGGGCUGACGCCUGCCCGGUGCUGGAAGGUUAAGAGGAUGGGUUAGCGCAAGCGAAGCUCAGAAUUGAAGCCCCAGUAAACGGCGGCCGUAACUAUAACGGUCCUAAGGUAGCGAAAUUCCUUGUCGGGUAAGUUCCGACCCGCACGAAAGGCGUAACGAUCUGGGCACUGUCUCAACGAGAGACUCGGUGAAAUUAUAAUACCCGUGAAGAUGCGGGUUACCCGCGACAGGACGGAAAGACCCCAUGGAGCUUUACUGUAGCUUGAUGCUUGAUAUUGGGUGUUUGUACAACUUGUACAGGAUAGGUAGGAGCCGUAGAAGUCGGGACGCUAGUUUCGACGGAGGCAUCGGUGGGAUACUACCCUCGUUGUAUGAACACUCUAACCCACGCCGGCAAUCACGGCGGGAGACAGUGUCAGGUGGGCAGUUUGACUGGGGCGGUCGCCUCCUAAAAGGUAACGGAGGCGCCCAAAGGUUCCCUCAGAAUGGUUGGAAAUCAUUCGCAGAGUGUAAAGGCAUAAGGGAGCUUGACUGCGAGACCUACAAGUCGAGCAGGGACGAAAGUCGGGCUUAGUGAUCCGGUGGUUCCGCAUGGAAGGGCCAUCGCUCAACGGAUAAAAGCUACCCUGGGGAUAACAGGCUUAUCUCCCCCAAGAGUCCACAUCGACGGGGAGGUUUGGCACCUCGAUGUCGGCUCAUCGCAUCCUGGGGCUGUAGUCGGUCCCAAGGGUUGGGCUGUUCGCCCAUUAAAGCGGUACGCGAGCUGGGUUCAGAACGUCGUGAGACAGUUCGGUCCCUAUCCGUCGCGGGCGCAGGAAAUUUGAGAGGAUCUGUCCUUAGUACGAGAGGACCGGGAUGGACAUACCGCUGGUGUACCAGUUGUUCUGCCAAGGGCAUCGCUGGGUAGCUAUGUAUGGAUGAGAUAAACGCUGAAAGCAUCUAAGUGCGAAACUCACCUCGAGAUAAGAUUUCCCACUCCUUUAUGGAGUUAAGACCCCUGAGAGAUGAUCAGGUAGAUAGGAUGGAAGUGGAAGUGCGGCGACGCAUGGAGCGGACCAUUACUAAUCGGUCGAGGACUUAACCAA
rnacentral:rRNA from 1 species